rnacentral:rRNA from 1 species
AUGAGUGGUUUUAGAUGGUUUGCCACAUUCAUUGAUUGUCACACUUGUAUGACGUGGAUCUACUUGAUGAAGCAGAAGAGUGAAGUUCUCACAUGCUUCCAGGACUUCCACAAAAUGGUGGCCACUCAAUUUGACAAGAAGGUUCGAAUUCUUCGCUCGGAUAAUGGGACAGAGUAUAUUAAUUAUGUUUUUGAUGCUUAUCUCUCAGAUCAGGGAAUGAUUCAUCAAACCAAUUGUGUUGGGACCCCAACACAAAAUGGAGUUGCCGAACGAAAGAAUAGACACCUCUUGGAGGUUACCAGAUCAUUGAUGUUUCAAAUGAAUAUACCGAAGAAUUUAUGGAGUGAAGCUGUGAUGACAGCAGCCUAUCUGAUAAACCGUAUGCCAUCCAGAGUUUUGGGUAUGAAGUCUCCAUGUGAAAUUCUACUGGGUGAAAGAGAAUUUUAA